UACGGGGGGAGCAAGCGUUGUUCGGAUUUACUGGGCGUAAAGGGCGCGUAGGCGGCGCAACAAGUCACUUGUGAAAUCUCCGGGCUUAACCCGGAGCGGUCAAGUGAUACUGUCGUGCUAGAGUGCGGAAGGGGCUACUGGAAUUCCUGGUGUAGCGGUGAAAUGCGCAGAUAUCAGGAGGAACACCGGUGGCGAAGGCGGGUCUCUGGGCCGAUACUGACGCUGGAGGAAGCGAAAGCGUGGGGAGCAAACAGG
rnacentral:rRNA from 1 species